CACUAUCGUUAACUGAAUACAUAGGUUAACGAGGCGAACCGGGGGAACUGAAACAUCUAAGUACCCCGAGGAAAAGAAAUCAACCGAGAUUCCCCCAGUAGCGGCGAGCGAACGGGGAGCAGCCCAGAGUCUGAAUCAGCUUGUGUGUUAGUGGAACGGUCUGGAAAGUCCGACGGUACAGGGUGAUAGUCCCGUACACCAAAAUGCACAGGCUGUGAACUCGAAGAGUAGGGCGGGACACGUGGUAUCCUGUCUGAAUAUGGGGGGACCAUCCUCCAAGGCUAAAUACUCCUGACUGACCGAUAGUGAACCAGUACCGUGAGGGAAAGGCGAAAAGAACCCCGGCGAGGGGAGUGAAAAAGAACCUGAAACCGUGUACGUACAAGCAGUGGGAGCACCUUCGGGUGUGACUGCGUACCUUUUGUAUAAUGGGUCAGCGACUUAUAUUCUGUAGCAAGGUUAACCGUAUAGGGGAGCCGCAGGGAAACCGAGUCUUAACUGGGCGUUAAGUUGCAGGGUAUAGACCCGAAACCCGGUGAUCUAGCCAUGGGCAGGUUGAAGGUUGGGUAACACUAACUGGAGGACCGAACCGACUAAUGUUGAAAAAUUAGCGGAUGACUUGUGGCUGGGGGUGAAAGGCCAAUCAAACCGGGAGAUAGCUGGUUCUCCCCGAAAGCUAUUUAGGUAGCGCCUCGUGAACUCAUCUUCGGGGGUAGAGCACUGUUUCGGCUAGGGGGUCAUCCCGACUUACCAACCCGAUGCAAACUACGAAUACCGAAGAAUGUUAUCACGGGAGACACACGGCGGGUGCUAACGUCCGUCGUGAAGAGGGAAACAACCCAGACCGCCAGCUAAGGUCCCAAAGUCAUGGUUAAGUGGGAAACGAUGUGGGAAGGCACAGACAGCCAGGAUGUUGGCUUAGAAGCAGCCAUCAUUUAAAGAAAGCGUAAUAGCUCACUGGUCGAGUCGGCCUGCGCGGAAGAUGUAACGGGGCUAAACCAUGCACCGAAGCUGCGGCAGCGACACUAUGUGUUGUUGGGUAGGGGAGCGUUCUGUAAGCCUGCGAAGGUGACCUGUGAGGGUUGCUGGAGGUAUCAGAAGUGCGAAUGCUGACAUAAGUAACGAUAAAGCGGGUGAAAAGCCCGCUCGCCGGAAGACCAAGGGUUCCUGUCCAACGUUAAUCGGGGCAGGGUGAGUCGACCCCUAAGGCGAGGCCGAAAGGCGUAGUCGAUGGGAAACAGGUUAAUAUUCCUGUACUUGGUGUUACUGCGAAGGGGGGACGGAGAAGGCUAUGUUAGCCGGGCGACGGUUGUCCCGGUUUAAGCAUGUAGGCUGAUUGUCCAGGCAAAUCCGGAUAAUCAAGGCUGAGGUGUGAUGACGAGGCACUACGGUGCUGAAGUAACAAAUGCCCUGCUUCCAGGAAAAGCCUCUAAGCAUCAGGUAACAU
rnacentral:rRNA from 1 species